GCUUCUUAAGCAUCAUUUUGCUUUUGCCCCACCAGAAAGGGACAAGUCCAAAUGAUCUCAAUAUGACACAAUGCUGAAAGGGAGCGGCAAUAGGGAUCCAACCUUGAAUAUGAUGUGGCCAAGGCAGUCAGUGGGAGCGGGAUAAACGGACGCGCCAAGGAGCUGUGAAGAAGGCCCGGCAAAGUGGUUCUUCCUCUCUGGAAGGAUGUCAGUUCUCUGUGCCUGGCCAUCCCUGAGGACGCUUGAUGUCAUCUUGUCUACCUGAUCAUUACACUACCUGCUCUCCUCUACAAUGCUGGCCUCUCUCUGCUCCGCCACUUGAAAUGCUUGGCUGGCCUCUUCUCUGAAACCAUCAUGAAAUUGUGUGCUAAAACGCUGCAGACUGUUCCUCCUCUCUCCUCCCUCCAGCCAAGUGUGCAGGAGCCAGAAAAAGAUUCCUCCACUUGGACGACUGCUGCCCAGUCAAAGGGAAAAUGCUCAAAACAUCCUUCAGCCACCUGCCACCGCUCACAGCUUUUAUUUGAGUUAUUGAUUUUGGUAGCGUACGACAUUGUACAGCAAUAUUAUUAGAUUCGAUGGACAUCUACCAAGUUGUUUAAAAAAAGAGGUCCUUUUGGUAGUGUCACAGUAGGAAAAGCGCAUGUGAAAAUAAUAAAAUGAAUGAUGGCUGAAUUGCAUUUGGCUGCUUCGGUUUCAGGGUGCUGGUCAUUGUUAACAGUAUUAGUAACAGAUGUGCCUGUCCUCCUAUGACAAGUGAAAUGGUCUGCUAUGAAAUGUACAAUAGACUGCAGUGUAUAAUGUCAAUAUUGAAAGCAGAAGUCACUGCAAAAAUGCACCAAGAACACUGAUAAUGCAAUCAAAAUAUUGCGUCCAUCAUCAUUCAUGAAAAUACUGAUGUAUAAACAUUUUCCUCAACUUUAACACACUGCGAGGGACUGCUUUCAUCUCAUCAAGUGUCUCUUUUAUUUGGUUUAAGCUAUGUGUGAAUGAUCCAGAUAAUAAAGGAAUAAACAACAAAUGUAAAAAUGAUGUACUCUGCAUAUUGAAAGAUAGGUUAAUAUAAGCUUCACAUAAAAUUUGGAAUACAUUUAGUUUCAUGUAAGGAGGGUUUUGUCUCCCAUCACUUCCAUUGAAAGCGAAUAAGGAGAGGAUCUGUUACUGGCCAAUAUGAACAGAAUCAGAAUUAGAAUCAGAAUAUGAUUUAUUGCCAAACAAGUGACACAAGGAAACAGAAGGAAUGAUCACAGCAAGCAAAACCUGUUUCAAUGUUCAUAUGCACCUGACUAUUGUUUUAAGACAGACUUAAAAAAAUUGGAAACUAUGCUUUAAUGUGUACAAUAUAAGGUCCUAUUUUUUUUUUUACACUUUUACUAGCAAUUAUCGUAUCUCAGUAAGAUUAAUAAAUAAACUGCAUUGUCAGUGAACCUUUUAAAAUAUGUUCAAACAUUUCAAUACAUUAAUGUUAGAUUGUCUGAACACGCUGCAGAGUCUCAGCAUGGAUCUGGUUCACACAGAGUGGAGAGGUAACACACACAGUAAAGAGUGCAGUGCUCUGCUGCUGGACAUUAAGCAGUGGAGGGGGAAGUGUCUUGCUCGUGAGCAUCUCAGUAGCAUUUGCAGAGGAAGGGGGCUCCUUUAAUCACAGUAUUUCUUUUCCCAGGGGUUCCAAGCUCAUCCGGGGAUUUGAACCGUUCACAGAUGCACUUCUGUUAGAGAUGGCUGGCCCAGUUCCAAUGCAUGCUUAACAAUAAAAGUCCUAAAAUAACUCUGCUUUUACAGUAAUAUGCCUGUUGUAUUUACUGAAAUAGUUUGACAGGGAUUAUGUACUUCAUGUAUUACAUUUAAAAAAACACAAAUGCAUUGUGUUUAUCUGUUACACUUACAACUAUUCUUCAUCUCCUAAAGUAACUAACUUACCCUAUCUAUGUUUCCAAUAUAGUGACAUGCUCUGUAACUCCUACAUAUAUUAAUCAUCCUGACAUCAGAUGUUUACUGAAUUGAAGUAUUAAACUUGAGCAUGAGUUGUUUGUUUUUGAAAUGUAUGUACGCCAGGUAAUUUAAAUGAAUACAUAUCUGAUGUAUCAUAAUGAACCAGCAUACUGUUGGGUGGAAGGCACACGGCUCAACACAAAUUCCACCAUUUAAUUAGAGUUGGAUUUAAACACUGUACUUGGGUAAAGGCAGUAAUACCACAAUGUAAAAUGACUUCAAAUACUAUAUACAGUAUAACAUGUUUGAAUUCAUUUAAGUGUCACAGGUAAAGGCAUUCAUUCUGAAUUCAAUUUCAGAGUGUAUCAAUGCGCUGCAGCUGUAGGUGUUCCUUUCACCUGUAGGCUUGCUACUGCAUUUACUGUGGUUUCAACUACAGUGAUUUGUAUGUUACAUCUUAUUCUGCAAUAAGUAACUAUUAACAACUGCUGAUAAAUAAAGUGGAAUCAAGGAGUGUGCAGUAUUUCCCUCUGAAGUGUAGAGAAGUAAAAGCAAGUAUCGUACAAUUAGCAAGUACAUAUGUAAAUAUACUUAUUUACAGUUUAUUAUGCAUAGGUUUUUAUGUAAAUAAACCUGGAAGUUCUGUUAUUUGUGUUACAUUAUGUAACAUUUUGUUGUAUUAAUUCUUCCUAAUGAAUUUGUCAUCAAGUUGUGAUUUUA